rnacentral:rRNA from 1 species
UACAGAGGAGGCAAGCGUUGUUCGGAAUCAUUGGGCUUAAAGGGUGUGUAGGCGGGAUCGCAGGUACUGGGUGAAAUCCCUCCGCUCAACGGAGGAACUGCUUGGUAUACCACGAUUCUUGAGGCCGGAAAGGGUACCUGGAACUUUGGGUGGAGCGGUGAAAUGCGUAGAUAUCCAAGGGAACGCCGAUGGUGAAAACAGGGUACUGGGCCGGUUCUGACGCUGAGACACGAAAGCGUGGGUAGCAAACAGG